ensembl:rRNA 5S_rRNA 5S ribosomal RNA
GGCUAUGGCCAUACCCUCCUGAGUGUGCCUGAUCUCAUCUGAUUCAGUAGCUAAGCAGGGUUGGAUCUGGUUAACAUAUGGAUGGGAGAAUACCUGGGACUACUGACUACUGUAGGUU